rnacentral:lncRNA from 1 species
GGAGAGAGUGUUUCGAUUCCAAUCGAUAAGUUUUUUGACGAUUUUCUUGAGGAGAAAAUCCCAAUGACUUGAUGAAAUUGAAGAAUAGUGAAGGGAUAAUCCCAGGUAUUUGAUAGAAAAAUGAGUAGUUUGGCAACUUAUAAUCACUGUCAAAUCCUUACUUUCUGCACCCAUAAGGUUCAUCUCUAUCAAGAGAGAUUUGUUAAAGUUGAUUUUUGAACUAGUUACCAUCUCGAAUGAGUAAAAAAUGAGUUUGAAGAUGUUGGCAAAUCUUGUUGAUGCACCGUAGAAGAGCAAGGUGUCGUCAGCG